rnacentral:rRNA from 1 species
GACGGAGGGUGCUAGCGUUGUUCGGAAUCACUGGGCGUAAAGCGCGUGUAGGCGGCUUGGCAAGUCGGAUGUGAAAUCCCGAGGCUCAACCUCGGAACUGCACUCGAAACUGCCUGGCUCGAGUCCCGGAGAGGGUGGCGGAAUUCCCGGUGUAGGGGUGAAAUCCGUAGAUAUCGGGAGGAACACCAGUGGCGAAGGCGGCCACCUGGACGGUGACUGACGCUGAGACGCGAAAGCGUGGGGAGCAAACAGG